rnacentral:misc_RNA from 1 species
UUGUAAUUCAUCCAGCGAAUUCGCUGUGUGCACGACCUUGAACGACGGUGGGCAAGAUCAGGCAGCACCCAUGGUGACGAACGAAGGCAAUACUGUUAGCAUAAAUAUAUAAUAAUGUGAGGUUAUGCAUAGUGCAAGAAUGGAGAAAACACGCAGUGGAAAUCGCGGAUGCUGUAUUAAAAGUUGUAAAAAUACUUAUAAUAAUACUUCUUCUGAAAUUACUUUUUAUGGUCUACUAAAGGCUAAAUACAAAUACCCUCAACGUGAGAAAUGGAUCCAAUGGAUUCAAAAAGUGAAGAAAGUUGAUGAUGAUUGCUCUUCACAUCCCUCUGGUUGGAAAUUGACCGAAUACUUAAAAAUUUGUAGUUCACAUUUUAUUGAAAAUAAAUCUUCAUCAAAUUGGUUUAGUCCAAGUUAUGAACCAACAAUACUGCAUCGUAAAAAUAAUAAAAUACUAGCUAGCGAGAAAAUGAAAGUUCAAAGACCAAGAUAAAACAAUUAACUCUUAUUAAUGACCCGGAGAAUUCUUCUUGCUAUGCUUUAAUUGGAAAUCCGAAUAGUAUUCUAAUAAAUGAUAAAUUAACUGAAUUUGUAAUAAGUGGAGGGGACAGUAAUGACACAUAUACCAUAAACAAUGUAGUAGAGUAUGCACCAAAUUUAAAGAAGUUGGACAUCAUUGAUUUUAAUUUCAACAAUACCACACUGGAAAUUUUUUUGGCUGAGAAAUUAGAGUAUUUAACAUUAAAAAAUGUGACUGGACUUAAUUCUUCAUUUUGGAUAAGUCACAUUCCAAGGAUAAAUUCAUUAUUUUUAAAAUUAAAAUAUCUAUCAUGCAAGGACUUACAAUCAUUUAUAAAUAUGAAUAGGAAUACAUUGGAAAAGAUUGAAUUAAUAGGAGUUUAUCUAUACGGAUUGAAUAUUUUAAUUGAGAUGAUACAGCAAGAACCAACAGAUGAGAAUGUACAAAAAGAACUUCGUUUGUAUAUGAAUGAAAAGCUAAGAACGAAAAUAUUGUACAUAAUGCCAAACAAAAAAAUUCCGGAACGACAAAUUAAAUCAAUAGUAGGAGAAUCAACACAUAAGGAUUUAAUAAGAUCACCAUUAUCAUUGAAGCAAACGAAUUAUUACGAAUUUUAGAAUUCAAAAGACAAAAGCAUCGCCUUUCCAUUGUUCUGUUGGAGUUCUACAUUCGUAAUAAAAUGUGUUCUUAUCAAUGAUAGAUAUAUGUAUAGACGACCAUUCUCGUUUGAGGUGCUCCAAAGUUAA